rnacentral:rRNA from 1 species
AACGAACGCUGGCGGCAGGCCUAACACAUGCAAGUCGAGCGAGGUAGCAAUACCUAGCGGCGGACGGGUGAGUAACCCGUGGGAACGUGCCCCUUGGUACGGAAUAGCCCCGGGAAACUGGGAGUAAUACCGUAUGAGCUCUACGGAGGGAAGUUUGAUCGCCAAGGGAUCGGCCCGCGUGGGAUUAGGUAGUUGGUGGGGUAAUGGCCUACCAAAGCGACGAUCGAUAGCUGGUUUGAGAGGAUGGUCAGCCACACUGGGACUGAGACACGGCCCAGACUCCUACGGGAGGCAGCAGUGGGGAAUCUUAGACAAUGGGCGCAAGCCUGAUCUAGCCAUGCCGCGUGAGCGAUGAAGGCCUUAGGGUUGUAAAUCUCUUUCGUGGGGGACGAUAAUGACGGUACCCCAAGAAGAAGCUCCGGCUAACUUCGUGCCAGCAGCCGCGGUAA